GACGAACGCUGGCGGCGUGCUUAACACAUGCAAGUCGAACGGUGAAGCGCCUUCCUUUUUGGUGGGUGUGGAUGAGUGGCGAACGGGUGAGUAACACGUGAGUAACCUGCCCCCUUCUUCUGGAUAACCGCAUGAAAGUGUGGCUAAUACGGGAUAUUCUGGGUCUGUCGCAUGAUGGGUCUGGGAAAGAUAUUGUUUCGGUGGGGGAUGGGCUCGCGGCCUAUCAGCUUGUUGGUGGGGUGAUGGCCUACCAAGGCGGUGACGGGUAGCCGGCCUGAGAGGGUGGACGGCCACACUGGGACUGCGACACGGCCCAGACUCCUACGGGAGGCAGCAGUGGGGAAUAUUGCACAAUGGGCGCAAGCCUGAUGCAGCGACGCCGCGUGAGGGAUGGAGGCCUUCGGGUUGUGAACCUCUUUCGCCAGUGAAGCAGGCCUGCCUCGUUUGUGGGUGGGUUGACGGUAGCUGGAUAAGAAGCGCCGGCUAACUACGUG
rnacentral:rRNA from 1 species